CGCGGCCUAUCAGCUUGUUGGAGAGGUAACGGCUCACCAAGGCAUCGACGGGUAGCUGGUCUGAGAGGAUGAUCAGCCACACUGGGACUGAGACACGGCCCAGACUCCUACGGGAGGCAGCAGUGGGGAAUCUUGCACAAUGGGCGCAAGCCUGAUGCAGCAACGCCGCGUGCGGGAUGACAGCCCUAGGGUUGUAAACCGCUUUCAGCAGGGAAGAAACUGACGGUACCUGCAGAAGAAGGUGCGGCCAACUACGUGCCAGCAGCCGCGGUGACACGUAGGCACCAAGCGUUAUCCGGAUUUAUUGGGCGUAAAGAGCUCGUAGGCGGUCCGGUAAGUCGGGUGUGAAAACUCUGGGCUCAACCCAGAGAGGCCACUCGAUACUGCUGUGACUAGAGUGCGGUAGGGGAGCGGGGAAUUCCUGGUGUAGCGGUGAAAUGCGCAGAUAUCAGGAGGAACACCAGUGGCGAAGGCGCCGCUCUGGGCCGUAACUGACGCUGAGGAGCGAAAGCAUGGGUAGCAAACAGGAUUAGAUACCCUGGUAGUCCAUGCCGUAAACGUUGGGCACCAGGUGUGGGUCUCAACCAACGAGAUCCGCGCCGUCGCUAACGCAUUAAGUGCCCCGCCUGGGGGAGUACGG
rnacentral:rRNA from 1 species